UGGGGAAUAUUGGACAAUGGGCGAAAGCCUGAUCCAGCCAUGCCGCGUGUGUGAAGAAGGUCUUCGGAUUGUACAGCACUUUAAGUUGGGAGGAAGGGCAGUAAGCGAAUACCUUGCUGUUUUGACGUUACCGACAGAAUAAGCACCGGCUAACUCUGUGCCAGCAGCCGCGGUAAUACAGAGGGUGCAAGCGUUAAUCGGAAUUACUGGGCGUAAAGCGCGCGUAGGUGGUUCGUUAAGUUGAAUGUGAAAGCCCCGGGCUCAACCUGGGAACUGCAUCCAAAGCUGGCGAGCUAGAGUAGGGCAGAGGGUGGUGGAAUUUCCUGUGUAGCGGUGAAAUGCGUAGAUAUAGGAAGGAACACCAGUGGCGAAGGCGACCACCUGGGCUGAUACUGACACUGAGGUGCGAAGGCGUGGGGAGCAAACAGG
rnacentral:rRNA from 1 species